GACGAACGCUGGCGGCGUGCCUAAUACAUGCAAGUAGAACGCUGAAGGAGGAGCUUGCUUCUCUGGAUGAGUUGCGAACAGGUGAGUAACGCGUAGGUAACCUGCCUGGUAGCGGGGGAUAACUAUUGGAAACGAUAGCUAAUACCGCAUAAUAGCAGUUGUUGCAUGACAACUGUUUGAAAGGUGCAAUUGCACCACUACCAGAUGGACCUGCGUUGUAUUAGCUAGUUGGUGGGGUAACGGCUCACCAAGGCGACGAUACAUAGCCGACCUGAGAGGGUGAUCGGCCACACUGGGACUGAGACACGGCCCAGACUCCUACGGGAGGCAGCAGUAGGGAAUCUUCGGCAAUGGACGGAAGUCUGACCGAGCAACGCCGCGUGAGUGAAGAAGGUUUUCGGAUCGUAAAGCUCUGUUGUAAGAGAAGAACGAGUGUGAGAGUGGAAAGUUCACACUGUGACGGUAUCUUACCAGAAAGGGACGGCUAACUACGUG
rnacentral:rRNA from 1 species